rnacentral:rRNA from 1 species
AGAGUUUGAUCCUGGCUCAGGAUGAACGCUAGCGGCAGGCUUAACACAUGCAAGUCGAGGGGCAGCAUGUCCAGCAAUGGAUGAUGGCGACCGGCGGAAGGGUGCGUAACGCGUGAGCAACAUGCCCUAUACAGGGAGAUACACCAGGGAAACUUGGUCUAAUAUCCCAUAGCAUUCAUUGAAGGCAUCUUUAAUGAAUUAAAGCUUCGGUGGUAUAGGAUUGGCUCGCGUGACAUUAGCCAGAUGGUGAGGUAACGGCUCACCAUAGCAAUGAUGUCUAGGGGUUUUGAGAGGAAGGCCCCCCACACUGGGACUGAGACACGGCCCAGACUCCUACGGGAGGCAGCAGUGAGGAAUAUUGGACAAUGGAUGGAAAUCUGAUCCAGCCAUGCCGCGUGCAGGAAGACGGCCUUAUGGGUUGUAAACUGCUUUUAUACGGGAGCAAUAAGGGUUACGAGUAAUCCGAUGAGAGUACUGUAUGAAUAAGGAUCGGCUAACUCCGUGCCAGCAGCCGCGGUAAUACGGAGGAUCCGAGCGUUAUCCGGAAUUAUUGGGUUUAAAGGGUGCGUAGGCGGCCAUUUAAGUCAGCGGUGAAAUUUUGCAGCUUAACUGUAACAGUGCCGUUGAUACUGUUUGGCUAGGAUUUGGUUGUAGUGUGCGGAAUGUGUGGUGUAGCGGUGAAAUGCUUAGAUAUCACACAGAACACCGAUUGCGAAGGCAGCACACUAAGUCAUUAUUGACGCUGAGGCACGAAAGUGUGGGGAUCAAACAGGAUUAGAUACCCUGGUAGUCCACACUGUAAACGAUGAUAACUCGCUGUCGGCGAUACACAGUCGGUGGCCAAGCGAAAGCAUUAAGUUAUCCACCUGGGGAGUACGACCGCAAGGUUGAAACUCAAAGGAAUUGACGGGGGCCCGCACAAGCGGUGGAGCAUGUGGUUUAAUUCGAUGCAACACGAAGAACCUUACCAGGUCUUGACAUCCAAAGAACCUUUAGGAAACUAAGGGGUGCCUUAGGGAGCUUUGAGACAGGUGGUGCAUGGUUGUCGUCAGCUCGUGUCGUGAGAUGUUGGGUUAAGUCCCGCAACGAGCGCAACCCUUGCUAUUAGUUGCUAACAUUCAGUUGAGCACUCUAAUGGGACUGCCCGUGACAAGCGGGAGGAAGGUGGGGAUGACGUCAAAUCAUCAUGCCCUUUAUGAUCUGGGCUACACACGUGCUACAAUGGAUGGUACAGAGAGCAGCGAGACAGUGAUGUGGAGCGAAUCUCAAAAAGCCAUUCUCAGUUCGGAUUGCAGGCUGCAACUCGCCUGCAUGAAGUCGGAAUCGCUAGUAAUCGCGGAUCAGCAUGUCGCGGUGAAUGCGUUCCCGGGCCUUGCACACACCGCCCGUCAAG